rnacentral:rRNA from 1 species
AUUGAACGCUGGCGGCAUGCCUUACACAUGCAAGUCGAACGGCAGCACGGGAGCAAUCCUGGUGGCGAGUGGCGAACGGGUGAGUAAUAUAUCGGAACGUGCCCAGUCGUGGGGAUAACGUAGCGAAAGCUACGCUAAUACCGCAUACGAUCUAUGGAUGAAAGCGGGGGAUCGCAAGACCUCGCGCGAUUGGAGCGGCCGAUAUCAGAUUAGGUAGUUGGUGAGGUAAAGGCUCACCAAGCCGACGAUCUGUAGCUGGUCUGAGAGGACGACCAGCCACACUGGGACUGAGACACGGCCCAGACUCCUACGGGAGGCAGCAGUGGGGAAUUUUGGACAAUGGGCGCAAGCCUGAUCCAGCAAUGCCGCGUGCAGGAUGAAGGCCUUCGGUUGUAAACUGCGUUUGUACGGUAACGAAACGGUAGAGCUCUAAUACAGUUAGCUAAUGACGGUACCGUAAGAAUAAGAC